rnacentral:rRNA from 1 species
CAAUAGCGUAUAUUAAAGUUGUUGCGGUAAAAAAGCUCGUAGUUGGAUUUCUACCGAAGAUAGCCGGUCGGGUCUUCGACCUUGUAUCUGGUUUUGUCUUUGGUAUCCUCAUAGGGAACGUUUCUGCGCUUUAUUGCGUGGUGCGGUAUCUAUGACUUUUACUUUGAGGAAAUUAGAGUGUUCACGGCAGGCAAACGCCUUGAAUAUAUUAGCAUGGAAUAAUAACAUAGGAUCUUCGUCCUAUUUUGUUGGUUUCUAGGGCUAAGAUAAUGAUUAAUAGGGAUAAUUGGGGGCAUCUGUAUCAACGCGUCAGGGGUGGAAUUCUUGGAUUGCGUUGCGACAAACUACUGCGAAAGCAUUUGCCAAGGAUGUUUUCAUUGA